rnacentral:rRNA from 1 species
UACAGAGGUCUCAAGCGUUGUUCGGAUUCAUUGGGCGUAAAGGGCUCGUAGGUGGCCAACUAAGUCAGACGUUGGAAAUCCCUCGGCCUUAACCGGGGAACUGCGUCUGAUACUGGAUGGCUUGAGUUUGGGAGAGGGACGCGAAUUCCAGGUGUAGCGGUGAAAUGCGUAGAUAUCUGGAGGAACACCGGUGGCGAAGGCGGCUAUCUGGACGACAACUGACGCUGAGGCGCGAAAGCGUGGGGAUCAAACAGG